rnacentral:tRNA from 1 species
UGGGCCGGUAGCUCAACCGGUAGAGCAGCGGGCUCAUAACCCGUCCGAUCCAGGUUCGAACCCUGGCCGGCCCAUC